rnacentral:rRNA from 1 species
CUGAGAGGAUGACCAGCCACACUGGAACUGAGACACGGUCCAGACUCCUACGGGAGGCAGCAGUGGGGAAUAUUGCACAAUGGGCGCAAGCCUGAUGCAGCCAUGCCGCGUGUAUGAAGAAGGCCUUCGGGUUGUAAAGUACUUUCAGCGGGGAGGAAGGGAGUAAAGUUAAUACCUUUGCUCAUUGACGUUACCCGCAGAAGAAGCACCGGCUAACUCCGUGCCAGCAGCCGCGGUAAUACGGAGGGUGCAAGCGUUAAUCGGAAUUACUGGGCGUAAAGCGCACGCAGGCGGUUUGUUAAGUCAGAUGUGAAAUCCCCGGGCUCAACCUGG